UGCAGUCGAACGGUAACGCGGGGCAACCUGGCGACGAGUGGCGAACGGGUGAGUAAUGCAUCGGAACGUGCCCAGUAGUGGGGGAUAGCCCGGCGAAAGCCGGAUUAAUACCGCAUACGACCUACGGGUGAAAGGGGGGGAUCGCAAGACCUCUCGCUAUUGGAGCGGCCGAUGUCAGAUUAGGUAGUUGGUGGGGUAAAGGCUCACCAAGCCAACGAUCUGUAGCUGGUCUGAGAGGACGACCAGCCACACUGGGACUGAGACACGGCCCAGACUCCUACGGGAGGCAGCAGUGGGGAAUUUUGGACAAUGGGGGCAACCCUGAUCCAGCCAUGCCGCGUGCGGGAAGAAGGCCUUCGGGUUGUAAACCGCUUUUGUCAGGGAAGAAACGCUUUGGGUUAAUACCCCGAGGUGGUGAGGGUACCUGAAGAAUAAGCACCGGCUAACUACGUGCCAGCAGCCGCGGUAAUACGUAGGGUGCAAGCGUUAAUCGGAAUUACUGGGCGUAAAGCGUGCGCAGGCGGUUGUGCAAGACAGGUGUGAAAUCCCCGGGCUUAACCUGGGAACUGCACUUGUGACUGCACGGCUUGAGUGCGGCAGAGGGGGAUGGAAUUCCGCGUGUAGCAGUGAAAUGCGUAGAUAUGCGGAGGAACACCGAUGGCGAAGGCAAUCCCCUGGGCCUGCACUGACGCUCAUGCAC
rnacentral:rRNA from 1 species